AGAACGUUUUGUGCUCUUUGCGCAGGCCUUGUGUUUACGGGCGCGUUGUGUCCGUGCACGUCUUCCCCGACAAGUGCAUGUGCAUCGGUGCAAUUCACGCACAUGCGAGGUCGAGAUGGAGGAAUUCGCGCACAAUAUUAAUAUUCACCUACAUCUUAACCUGCACGGCGCUGCUGCAGUUAUAUUAUAUGCAGCGUCAUCGUCAGACGAUAACGAAGUGAUCGACGUCGUCCGUGAAUUUUCAAUAAUGAUCGAAAACGAGAACGGCAGGCAAAGAUAACUGCACCGGUGCACCGAGUCUCCUGCAUUGUGCACGUCAUACCUGCAGCAGCAACAGCAACAGCAGCUGAUAUUCGAAAAAACCUGCACUUAAA